UUAGCUUUCCAGCUACCGCAAAUCAAAUUAACAAGAGCAUUCUAAGUGCCCUGUCACCCACUCAACUACAAGUCCAGAGCUAUGAAGUCUGAAUCACUCCCCCUUCUCUAACCCUAGCUUCUCUUUGACCACCAACACAACAACACCAUCGAUCAUCACCCCAGCAUCUCUGUCCACAGAAUCACCACCGUCUUCAUCUUCUUCUUCUUCUUCUUCUUCUUCUUCUUCUUCUUCGCCGAAAAACCACCGCGAAAACCCUUUCUCUCUUUUUCUUCUCCUGUCUCCUGCCUUCUCUGUCUCGCCGCCGGCUACCAUCCAGCGCCGCCGUGACCAUCUUCUUUCCCUCCUCACAACCUCGCACUGUGGCUCUCUAGCUCACCCCAGCCUCCCUCAUUCCCAGUCGUAGAAUCAGAAUAGAACCACUCUAGUUCCAGCGAGUUCAGACGCAGCAGUGGCUGGUUACUGCCACUGCAUCCUUCUCUCCUGAGUUCUUGCUCUGUUCUUUGACUCAGAGACAAUUUGGUGUAAUGAUAGGGUCAUUGCAUCAAAAUGUAUUGAUAAAUUUAAUAUGAAAAUAUUCCUACAGGAUGUGAUGCUUUGUGGUGGUUCAGAUGUUGCUAUUAUACCCAUUGGUUUGGGAGGUUUUGUGGCAUGCAAAUCCCUAUCACAGAGGAAUACAGACCCUACCAAAGCUUUACGCCCUUGGGACAUUAACCGAGAUGGAUUUGUCAUGGGGAAGGACCUGGAGUUUUACUUUUGGAAGACUUGGAGCAUGCAAAGAAAACCUAAUCGAUCAUUAAAUAGGUGGAGAGAAACCUGAAAUGAAUGAGGGGGCAAUGAAAGGACCAGAGGAAAUGGUGAAUGGAGCAUUCUUUGGUGUUGUUUUUUGCCACUGUUGAGAUAUGACUUCUAAUUGCUGUUUUUAUAUCCUUUGCAAAGAUUCUACUACAAGUUACAAGGCCUAGAACUUGUAUCUUGGGGAACAUUCCUAGAACAAUUGUGUAUAGAAAUAUCCAUCAAUACCCAGAAGCUAGUAAGGUUCCAGGUGUACUUAUUGUGAGAGUUGAUUCUGCAAUAUAUUUUUCCAACCCCAAUUUUAUCAAAGAAAGGAUAUUAAGAUGGUUAAUUGAUGGAUGAAGAAGAACAAGAUAAAGGAGACUACCUUACAAGAAUCCAGUUUUUGAUUGUUGAAAAGUCACCCGUUACUAACAUAGACACCAGUGGCAUCCAUGCCCUUGAAGAGUUCUUUUAAUGAGGAUUUUAACUGUGCCUUUUGUAUCUUUCUGCUGAUAUUUUCCAUCCUCUAAGCUGUGAAUAUUCUGAAUCAUUUACAUCUAGGUGGUAAACAAGCACCGUCUGAUAUUUGUUAACAUUUUGGAAUUAUUUACGAGUUUAAUAUUGUUUA